UACGAAGGGGGGCUAGCGUUGCUCGGAAUCACUGGGCGUAAAGCGCACGUAGGCGGAUUGUUAAGUCAGGGGUGAAAUCCUGGAGCUCAACUCCAGAACUGCCUUUGAUACUGGCGAUCUUGAGUCCGGGAGAGGUGAGUGGAACUGCGAGUGUAGAGGUGAAAUUCGUAGAUAUUCGCAAGAACACCAGUGGCGAAGGCGGCUCACUGGCCCGGUACUGACGC
rnacentral:rRNA from 1 species